GGGUCAAACAAGGUAUGAAAGAGUUAGCCUUGGAACAACCCACCAUUAUCAUUGAUGAAACGGUUGAUGAAAGUUAUGAAACAUCCGAAACGGCAUAAGGUUGUCAUGGUUUUUGAGCAUGCUUGCUAG